CUUGAAUACAUUCCUGACAGUGUUUUACAGGGCUUUAGAGGCUUAUGGCAUUGCCAGUUCGUGGGGAACCUGUUUGACGAGAGUCGAACUUAUUCAAAAAGUUUGAUCUAGAAGACAUGAGAUGACGGACUGAACCCUCAGCGAUAUAUAUGGCCGCUAUAGAUAGCCCCUCACAGCUGUACACACACGUACGGUCACUGGAGAUGGGGACCUCGGAGAAUGUCGUAUAAAGAAGUCUUCAUGGGUGGCAACUGUCAUGAAACAAUAUCCUCCGAGAGCUCGGCCGCCCCUUGAAGUCUGCUAAACCUCAAGAGUCUCUGCGGUCGAAUUGUACCCCUGGUUGUUGUACCACCAUAUCCCUAUGUGUCUCCUCCCAAACAACUGAAAUAUAUGAGGUCGAAUUCCUUCUUGUCACAAAGUUUCAGAUAUCAUUGCGUGUACGGACCGGGCUCCAUUACCAAUAAACAAAAGAAUGUGCAAGAUGAUGAAAUGACAGCAGAACGAUCUAUUCUGGAGACUUCAAUCUAAUUCGUAGCCGGGAUAUAAAUAAGAAACAGGAGACAAUGGGUCUGGGAUGUGGGUUAGAUAAUGGACUCCAGAGGAAUCUAUGGAACAAGGAAAGUGCUGAGCAAAGAAUUUACCUCCAUUACAUUAUUUAAUGUUCUGAUGACCCAGAUGUGGCCUCUGAAACCACUAUGGCUAACAUUUUAAUAUUUAGUCUGUUUUACAUGGAAUCCUGAUGAUCCACAAACCUGAAGAACAAACAUCCUGCACUCCAGACUGAUACAUUGUACAUAG